GUUAGACACAAAAACGCAGCUUUGUCAAAUCCUAGUCUCGGUUUCUGCAAUUUCUUUACCUUAAAACAGCUCCAUCUUAACAUCGAUAGUGAUUCAGCCAUCCCAUUCGCAACAAUAGCCACGAUCCCAGAGUUUUUCACCAACAUUUCACAACAGAAGCAGCAAAUUAUGAUUUUCCGUCAUCCGACAAAUAAACGAUACUUCUGCCACAGGAUUUGACGCUAAUUAAACAACUGCAACUAGUACAAACUUCAAGGUGCAAACAACCACAAACUAGAAUUAUCAUCACCCAUUACCGCAUUAGGACACAGCAAAGGCACCUUCAGGUACAAUAGUAGCAGUAUACAAUACAGUUUCAAGCACCGCUAGCAGGAGGAUCCACUAUUCAGUUGGUGCAGCAAGAUUGAAUUGACCAUAAAUCCAACCGUAAACACAACAGCAAGGUGCUUGGAAGGAAUUUGUGUGCGUAUGACUCGUUUGGAAAAAGUGCUUACCCUCGGAACCUCAGUUCUCUUGCACGCUGCCGGAGAAAUCCGUCACCAUUAAGUUGAACAAGAACCAGGAUGAGUCCUUCAGGGAGACGACGCGCAAGGGUUGAUGUUGGAAUCGCAGAUCACGCUCUGAAAAUAUCGCAAGCUAGAUCCCUCUCAGCAGCACGCAGUAAACCCUGACAGGAAAGGUGGGGCGCAAAAUCCCUGUAAACCAACGACAGCCCGACAAGAUUCAGUGGUUGUUAAUAUUUAGCAUAGCGUAAAAAGCGUAGUAGAAGGUAGAUGGCCCAUAAUAGCAAGCCAGUCCCAUGGUUUGUACUGUCGCUAUACGCUUGAUUUUCCCUAUGCUAUGGGCUUCUCGAUGUGCAUCACAUUAAGUAAAAAAACAUCAAGAAAAUGAGAUGAAAAUUUGCAGCAU